GACGAACGCUGGCGGCGUGCCUAAUACAUGCAAGUAGAACGCUGACUACUUUAGCUUGCUAGAGUAGAAGGAGUUGCGAACGGGUGAGUAACGCGUAGGUAACCUGCCUACUAGCGGGGGAUAACUAUUGGAAACGAUAGCUAAUACCGCAUACCAGUGUUUAACACAUGUUAGAUGCUUGAAAGAUGCAAUUGCAUCACUAGUAGAUGGACCUGCGUUGUAUUAGCUAGUUGGUGGGGUAACGGCCCACCAAGGCGACGAUAAAGAGCAGACCUGAGACGGUGAUCGGCCACACUGAGACUGAGACACGGCCCAGACUCCGACGGGAGGCAGCAGUAGGGAAUCUUCGGCAAUGGGGGCAACUCUGACCGAGCAACGCCGCGUGAGUGAAGAAGGUUUUCGGAUCGUAAAGCUCUGUUGUAAGAGAAGAACGUGUGUGAGAGUGGAAAGUUCACACAGUGACGGUAACUUACCAGAAAGGGACGGCUAACUACGUGCCAGCCGCCGCGGUAA
rnacentral:rRNA from 1 species